AGAGCGAACGCUGGCGGCAGGCCUAAUACAUGCAAGUCGAACGGACCCUUCGGGGUUAGUGGCGGACGGGUGAGUAACACGUGGGAACGUGCCCUUUGGUUCGGAACAACUCAGGGAAACUUGAGCUAAUACCGAAUGUGCCCCCUCCUUUGAUUAGGGGGUGGGAAAGAUUUAUCGCCAUUGGAGCGGCCCGCGUCUGAUUAGCUAGUUGGUGGGGUAAAGGCCCACCAAGGCUACGAUCAGUAGCUGGUCUGAGAGGAUGAUCAGCCACACUGGGACUGAGACACGGCCCAGACUCCUACGGGAGGCAGCAGUAGGGAAUCUUGCGCAAUGGGCGAAAGCCUGACGCAGCCAUGCCGCGUGAAUGAUGAAGGUCUUAGGAUUGUAAAAUUCUUUCAGCGGGGACGAUAAUGACGGUACCCGCAGAAGAAGCCCCGGCUAACUUCGUGCCAGCAGCCGC
rnacentral:rRNA from 1 species